rnacentral:tRNA from 1 species
GCGCCUGUAGCUCAGUUGGAUAGAGCAUCUGCCUUCUAAGCAGGUGGUCACAGGUUCGAAUCCUGUCAGGUGCG